AGGGCCAAUGAAAACAGACCUUAACGCGGGCAUUUUCGAAUCAGUUUUUAUUGUUGAAUCGGAUAGGGCGUCCUUUAAGCUUCAAAAUGAUACCAAGAUCGACCUCCUAGCUACUUUCUUUCCGGAGAUAUGUUCAAGGGAACGCUACGAAGGUAUUGCAACGCCCUCUUGAGUAAAUGACGCUCAAACGUCAUGAUAAUUGAAGUUCAAUUAUUGGCUUCCGGGCACUUCCGUAUACUCAUAAAGCUUAGUAAAAGAUGUUCUGGAGAAGACAAGUUAGUUAGAUGAAGGCUAGGCGUUCUAGGAGUCUCUAGCUAGCUAGUAUAGCUAUGUAGCUGGAUUGCUUGGCACCUAGGAAGGAUCUUCGAAGAAAUAAAGAGACAAAGACUCCCGUCGCUCGAAUGGUGGUGGUAAGUGUCGGAGGCCUGAGAAACGCUAGUCUAUUGGCUAGAAUGUUGUUAUGGAGUGUUUAUGAGGACACAUGGCACGGGAUACGUACAUCUAAAGAAACAAGAGUGGAUCUACGCCAAGCUAGCUAGCUAGAUAGCUGCUCUUUCUAAUCUAUUUCUGUUGCUAAAUUAUGUUUGUUAAGAAGUGGAGCUAUAAUAUACCUGGCUCCUCUUGAUGAUUGUAAGUACUGGGCUGAUGAAAUAGUCCUGUACAAGUUGUCAUCUUUUA